rfam:Nicotiana attenuata strain TT chromosome 1, whole genome shotgun sequence.
UGGACAGAUUAUUGUAUUCGAUUGUAUUCACGGCGUGAAACUUACACUGUUUUCAAACGGAAAGUGAAUCAAUUAACAUAAUAGACUCCU